rnacentral:rRNA from 1 species
UACAGAGGGUGCAAGCGUUAAUCGGAGUUACUGGGCGUAAAGGGCGCGUAGGUGGUGAGGUAAGUCGGAUGUGAAAGCUCGGAGCUCAACUCCGAAAUGGCAUUGGAAACUACCUUGCUCGAGGGAUGGAGGGGGGACUGGAAUUCUCGGUGUAGCAGUGAAAUGCGUAGAUAUCAAGUGGAACACCAGUGGCGAAGGCGAGUCUCUGGACAUUUCCUGACGCUGAGGCACGAAAGCCAGGGGAGCAAACGGG